rnacentral:rRNA from 1 species
AAACCAGCACCUCAAGUGGUCAGGAUGAUUAUUGGGCCUAAAGCAUCCGUAGCCGGCUCUGUAAGUUUUCGGUUAAAUCUGUACGCUCAACGUACAGGCUGCUGGGAAUACUGCAGAGCUAGGGAGUGAGAGAGGUAGACGGUACUCGGGAGGAAGUGGUAAAAUGCUUUGAUCUCUCGAUGACCACCUGUGGCGAAGGCGGUCUACCAGAACACGUCCGACGGUGAGGGAUGAAAGCUGGGGGAGCAAACCGGAGUAGAAACCCCUGUAGUCC